rnacentral:misc_RNA from 1 species
CAACAAGUCUCUCUCAUCUCAUCUCGUGCAAGCAAGACACAGCGCAGCGUGGGUUUUGGUUAAGACUUAAGGCCUUUCCUCUUCGUUUACUCUUUGAAUGCUCUUUGUCUCCUAAACAUCAAACCCUUACAGCUGUCCUAUAUUUUCAUCAAUUAUAUUAUUAUUCACAUCUCUAUACACUAUUGACUUCAACAAUUUAAUUUUUCUUUUAUAUAGAUAAAUAUAAUAAUAUAUAGCAUGCAGAUGCAGAUGCAGAGCAAGGG